rnacentral:rRNA from 1 species
UACGUAGGGUGCGAGCGUUAAUCGGAAUUACUGGGCGUAAAGUGUGCGCAGGCGGCCGAGCAAGUCGAGUGUGAAAGCCCCGGGCUUAACUUGGGAAUUGCGCUCGAAACUACUUGGCUGGAGUGUGGCAGAGGAAGGUGGAAUUCCAGGUGUAGCGGUGAAAUGCGUAGAGAUCUGGAGGAACACCGAUGGCGAAGGCGGGUCUCUGGGCAACAACUGACGCUGAGGAGCGAAAGCGUGGGGAGCGAACAGG